GGCAAACGGGUGCGGAACACGUACGCAACCUUCCUCAGAGCGGGGAAUAGCCUCUCGAAAGAGAGAUUAAUACCCCAUAGUAUCCCGAAGUCACAUGGCUUUGGGAUUAAAGCUCCGGCACUUUGGGAUGGGCGUGCGGCUGAUUAGGUAGUUGGUAGGGUAACGGCCUACCAAGCCGACGAUCAGUAGCUGAUGUGAGAGCAUGAUCAGCCACACGGGCACUGAGACACGGGCCCGACUCCUACGGGAGGCAGCAGUGAGGAAUAUUGGUCAAUGGAGGCAACUCUGAACCAGCCAUGCCGCGUGAAGGAUGAAGGUCCUCUGGAUUGUAAACUUCUUUUAUAGAAGAAGAAACCCACGUUUUCUAAUGUGGUUGACGGUACUCUAUGAAUAAGCACCGGCUAACUCCGUGCCAGCAGCCGCGGUAAUACGGAGGGUGCAAGCGUUAUCCGGAUUCACUGGGUUUAAAGGGAGCGUAGGUGGGUUGAUAAGUCAGUGGUGAAAUCUCCGAGCUUAAC
rnacentral:rRNA from 1 species